UACGUAGGGUGCGAGCGUUAAUCGGAAUUACUGGGCGUAAAGCGUGCGCAGGCGGCGCGUUAAGACAGGUGUGAAAGCCCCGAGCUUAACUUGGGAAUUGCGCUUGUGACUGGCGUGCUGGAGUGUGGCAGAGGGAGGUGGAAUUCCACGUGUAGCAGUGAAAUGCGUAGAUAUCUGGAGGAACACCGGUGGCGAAGGCGGCAUCCUGGACCAUAACUGACACUGAUAAGCGAAAGCCAGGGGAGCAAACGGG
rnacentral:rRNA from 1 species